AGAGUUUGAUCCUGGCUCAGGAUGAACGCUAGCUACAGGCUUAACACAUGCAAGUCGAGGGGAAACGAUAUUGGGAGCUUGCCUCCGAUAGGCGUCGACCGGCGCACGGGUGAGUAACGCGUAUCCAACCUGCCCACCACUUGGGGAUAACCUUGCGAAAGUAAGACUAAUACCCAAUGAUAUCUCUAGAAGACAUCUGAAAGAGAUUAAAGAUUUAUCGGUGAUGGAUGGGGAUGCGUCUGAUUAGCUUGUUGGCGGGGUAACGGCCCACCAAGGCAACGAUCAGUAGGGGUUCUGAGAGGAAGGUCCCCCACAUUGGAACUGAGACACGGUCCAAACUCCUACGGGACGCAGCA
rnacentral:rRNA from 1 species